UACGGAGGGUGCGAACGUUAAUCGGAAUCACUGGGCGUAAAGCGCGCGUAGGCGGUCCGUUAAGUGGGAUGUGAAAUCCCCGGGCUUAACCCGGGAAUUGCAUUUCAAACUGGCGGACUAGAGUGCGGUAGAGGGAGGUAGAAUUUCCUGUGUAGCGGUGAAAUGCGUAGAUAUAGGAGGGAAUACCAGUGGCGAAGGCGGCCUCCUGGAUCGACACUGACGCUGAGGCGCGAAAGCGUGGGGAGCAAACAGG
rnacentral:rRNA from 1 species